rnacentral:lncRNA from 1 species
GUGUGUUGUGUGUAUGUGCAAGGGUGAAUGAGCGGGACAAUGUUUGAAGGCUUUGGAACUUUGUGUAUUUACCGGUGGCUUGGUUUUAUCUUCGCCCGACGUUUUUCGUUAAACUUUUCACUUCGGAUGCUUUUAUCUGCUCCACAACGCACCUAUCUGAUGGCAUACACAUUUGUCGAAAUGUGUUCCGAGGGUCACCAUCAUCAUCAUCAUCAUCAUCACCAUCCUCAUCAUCCCCAUCAUCACCAACAUCAUCAUCAUCAUCCCCAUCAUCACCUUCACCGACAUCAUCAACAUCAUCCCCCAUCACCUUCAUCAUCAUCAUCACCAUCAUCAUGCAGCAACAGCGUCCUUUCCUCUAGAGGCUUAAGAGUUAAAGCCAAGAAAGAGAAAGUCUGUUAAUCCCUUGACCGAAACACUUCCAGGACGUCCUGUUUAAUAGGCAUGUUGUCCCAGUACCCUAGCUGACUGGCAUACAGAGAGAGGGGACCAGGAGAGGAGUGGGCACAGGGCAGGUCUGUGACAGCCAAGGGACUGCCUGUGUCUUGUUCAUUUGGUAAUGCUGCCGGUUUAGCAAGAUCCAUCACUCAAGGUGGUUUGGUGUCUUGCGUUAGCAACUCGAAACCCCAGGUUUUAGCUCAGCUGGCUAACACAAACUUGUGGCAAGUAGGAGACCCGUGUUUGAACCCAGCGGGGGACAUUAGCACUACACAGCAUGCCAAAAAGUGAGACCAAAGUCAGACCAAGCUCAUUCAAACAACGUGACCUUCUCUUAAAUUGUACUGAGGGUCUUCCGAGGGGUGUUUAUUGAUGUCUGGGAAAACUCUCACCCAGUCCUUCAUAACAUAUUCCACCUGGUUCCAGAAGACCACAACCGCCAG